UUUGUGCUUCCUCCAAGUAACACUGUUCUCCUUGCCCUUUUUCCCUCUCUUCUCUCCCUGCUUUCAGAAAUCGCCGCACGGUGUGGUUAUGACAAACCCACGGAUAUUCCCAGGGGACAGGAUUUUAGAGACUGGAGAGAUCAUGCCACCCCUGAGAGACGAGCACCACCAGCACCACUGAUGGCCAGGAGCCAGUUUCCUCUGUGGGGGAGCAUGGCCAGAGCUGCACCUGCUGUGUCUCUUCCAUAAAAGUCUGCAUUGUCUCAGC